UAGAAAGUUGCAAAGCCACAGCCAGAAGUGAGAAUUCAUGAAAUGCUCAGUUAAUAGCAGGCAGGAAGGGAAAACUGGCCCUAGCUGUGUUUGGCUUUGAAAACCUUGGGGGAAAUAGGACAGGAAAGGAGCGAGUGGAAAGGCGAGGAGAGACAAAGGUGGGGAAGGUGUAAGUGGGGGAAACGAGGGUUGCGGCAGAGGGAAGGAGACCGAUAAGGAGAACAGAACCAGAUGGUGAAACAAGAGGAGCAGAGCUAGGAGAAGACGAGAAGAAAGAAAAACAGUGAGGAAGAAAGAAAAUAGUCAUCAAGAAAAGGGAGGAAGAGAAGAUCCUCACAUCAGAAGGCAAGGGCAGCCUGAGCUAAACAGCUGGCUGGAUUUGCAUGAAAAUGGACUGCCCUUUUUCAUUUGUUUGUUCUUUGGAAAUUACAGUAGGAAAGCCACACAGGGAAUUGCUCCCACUUUGCUCAGCUCCCAGAGGAUCUGAAGGCACUGUUGUAAGAUUGCACUUGCUAAGGACUCGCCAGGAGUAUUUCUAAUCUAUAAUUCAAGCCUCUAUCUGAAAGUCAGCGGGACUGAGAGAUUAAAAACCGAAAUGUAUUAUCUUUGCACAUCCUCAAAACCUGUCGAGAAAGGAGGAGAAAUUAAACAAGGACAAAAACUCGCACUGAAGUGAAGCUGUUUCCUUUGAGCUGCCUUAUUAACCAGUCAAGUACUUGACUGCCACUGUCAGCGAGAUUUCUUUAGAGAAAGAGUGGCAUUUUGAAAAAUACAAAUUCACCGCCUGCACAAGUUAAUGAGGCCCUUCAGCAAUGUUCAUUGAUAGUGUAAAUUCAUCAUAAUACAGUGCUACAAACCAUAAAUGGGAUAUGCAUACAGGAAAUCAUCCACUAUUAGAAAUUUGCCAGACACGAAAAGAAAAAGAAGCCAUUGAUAAGCAGAAAACUCAUCUCAACUGCUCCGUGCUGAUGGGUGUGCAGCACAUUAGUAAUGCCAGAUAGUGCCACGAUGAGAACUUAUUAAGGUGAAUUGAGGUAGCUCGUCAAGUGUAUUUGGUCGCCUUUGUUCGCAUUUUAUGGACUCUCUCAGCUGCCUCCCUUGCAUUUGCCAGUGUUGGGUUAGAAAAAGCUUGCUGUGCAAGGACUACCAUCAACGUAAAGGGACAAAUGUCUCCAAAUACUUCCCUUUUCUGUGCACACACAGACGUGCUUAUGCGUUUAAUCGAUUUUCAGUUGCAUUUGCAAACGAUAGCUUUACAGACACCAAAUUAUCUUAAGGGCUAUAUAGUACACCAGGAGUGGACAGUAGUAAAACUUGGCAACACCCCAGAAAAAAUAUAUUAAGGUGACUUCUGAUCUUUUAAAUAAUAACCGAGCAGUGCUAUUUUGCUGUCCGUAUCAAUCAAUAAAUCUCUCUACAGUGCAAUACAUUCGGUACUCCUACCCUUCUUGAAUAGUAUCAGUUUAAAAAUCUCUGCGACCAUUAGGCCAAUACUUUAGUGUGAUUUGUCUGUUGGCCCAUUUCCAUCAUCUUGCUUCAGGGAACGAAUAAAAAAAGGAAUACCUUGCAUCGGGUCAUAAAGUGGUCAGCUUCUUGAUGAGAAGAAGUGUACAGACUUGUUAAAAUCUCGAAGACCGUGGCCCCUGAUGUGCGGGACACCACCAAAUUACAUGAAUGAGCUCUAUGAAAUAAAGCAGACUGGUAUGAAAAGGCUUUGAAACAUCUGCAUUCAUCUCCCGUGGUCUUGAUUCCAAAUGUAUGGAGAUCUGAGGAAAGACUACAUUGGGUUAGCCUCUGAAAAGUGUCUGGAAAAGAGAGUCACUACCCCAACUCCCUACCGCCCCGACUCCCCCCUGUUGAAUGAAUCUGCUUGUUGCGGAGCCGCAGAUGACUGGGGAUCAACAAAGGAACAUCAACAGAGGAACUUGAGAAGAUGCAAAUUCUGGUAUCCCUCUUCCCACACUGUCUUUGGUUUCACACACGAAGACAAGAUCAAGGGCACGGACUCCGGUCUUCUCUCCCAGGGGAUCUGCUUUCCCUGUAGCCUUCCCACAGGGGUCAGUUCAGAACUCACUCCAAUCCAUGGAAACGCCGAAGACCAAGUCCCCUUCUCCCAGUGUCACCUGUUUCACUCGGCUGACGUGUUUGUGUCAUCAGCUGUACAAGGCAUUGGGCAGAGUAGCAGAAGCCUAAGCAAACGCGUCUUUUGUUUGUAAACAGGAAUAAUGAUGUUGACUGGAAGGCCUUGAACCGAAGCAACAGCCCUGGUCUAGGGUUUUGGCUGGUGCAAUUUCAUUGACUUCAGUAAAAGGACAAGCUGCUGUGAGACCUCUGCGUACUUCAGUCUCUAAGUCCUCAGCUUCCAAAACAGCAAGCAAUAUGAUUUUUAAACCUACUUAUGCCAUUUUAUAAACAUUAUUUAUCUUUUUUCUCUUCCCGCUAUAUUAAUUAUACAGCGUUAGAUCUCUUGAAACAUAAAUACCCCAAAUGCCAAAAUUAGAGCACCGUAGUGAGAAUGUUGUAAGAGUGCUUUUCUGGAAAAGAAAGAAUAGAUUUUCGCAAGUGAUUGUUGACCUUCUAGAAACUCUGUUCUGGUACUUUUCAGCAUGCUUUGAUGUGCAGCAAACGCUUUGCUAUUUGACCACCUCCUGGUAGGGUUUCCAUCCUCAGCGCUCGCUGGAGCAGGAGACCUGAUACACCAGAGCUGCAUACUCCAGUACAUCACUUUAAACCAAGCCUUUACCAUCUGUUUCAACCUCUAAUUACAAAUGCAAAAUAACACAAUUCACAAUUGCAUCAUAAAAAAGUAAAAUAUAAGUGAUUUAAAUGCAUGUGUGUGUUCCUUAUGCAAGGCAAGAUUCAUCUGUUAUGUUUUACCGUCUUUUAGAAACAACUCCGGGGUGAAAUCCCUCUUUGUGGAGGGAAGAAAAAUGAUUUCA